rnacentral:lncRNA from 1 species
CCAGCCUUUCAGUGCAGGCUCCAGCCCUCCACCCCCACCCGAGUUGCAGGAUGUCGAUGACAGACUUGCUGAACGCUGAGGACAUCAAGAAGGCGGUGGGAGCCUUUAGCGAAUUCUCCACUCUGGUGGCUGAAAGCUAAGAAGCACUGACUGCCCCUGGUCUUCCACCUCUCUGCCCUGAACACCCAAUCUCGGCCCCUCUCGCCACCCUCCUGCAUUUCUGUUCAGUUCGUUUAUGUUAUUUUUUACUCCCCCAUCCCCUGUGGCCCUCUAAUGACACCAUUCUUCUGGAAAAUGCUGGAGAAGCAAUAAAGGUUGUACCAGUCAG